rnacentral:rRNA from 1 species
CCUACGGGAGGCAGCAGUGAGGAAUAUUGGUCAAUGGACGAGAGUCUGAACCAGCAAAGUAGCGUGAAGGAUGACUGCCCUAUGGGUUGUAAACUUCUUUUAUAAAGGAAUAAAACGAGGCACGUGUGCCUUUUUGCAUGUACUUUAUGAAUAAGGAUAGGCUAACUCCGUGCCAGCAGCCGCGGUAAUACGGAGGAUCCGAGCGUUAUCCGGAUUUAUUGGGUUUAAAGGGAGCGUAGAUGGGUUGUUAAGUCAGUUGUGAAAGUUUGCGGCUCAACCGUAAAAUGGCAAUUGAUACUGGCAGUCGUGAGUACAGUUGAGGUAGGCGGAAUUCGUGGUGUAGCGGUGAAAUGCUUAGAUAUCACGAAGAACCCCAAUUGCGAAGGCAGCUUACUAAACUGUGACUGACAUUGAUGCUCGAAAGUGUGGGUAUCAAACAGGAUUAGAUACCCCAGUAGUC